rnacentral:rRNA from 1 species
CCCUUAGAUGUUCUGGGCUGCACGCGCGCUACACUGAUGCGAUCAACAAGUUUUUCCUAUGUCGAUAGACACGGGUAAUCUUUUGAACUCGCAUCGUGAUGGGGAUAGAUUAUUGUAAUUAUUAAUCUUCAACGAGGAAUUCCUAGUAGGUGCAAAUCAUCAGUUUGCAUCGAUUACGUCCCUGCCCUUUGUACACACCGCCCGUCGCUGCUGCCGAUUGGUUGAUCUGGUGAAUUAUUCGGACUGCCGGCUGAAGGGGUUUCCUCAUCUGCCAGCGGAAAGUCUUGUUAACCCUAUCAACUAGAGGAAGCAGAAGUCGUAACA